AUGGGGAUGGGAACAGCUCAGCCCUUGACCCAAACCCUGACCCUUGGAACCCAAAUUGUGACCCUUGGACUGACCCAUCCUCCUGCUCCUGUGCUCCUGCUGGCGCUCCCAGGGUCCGGCUUCGAUUUCGGGAGCUACGACAUGUUCUGGAUGCGCCAGAGGCCCGGGCAGACGCUGGAAAGGAUCGCGUGGAUCAGGAACGAUGGUGGUGGCACCGACUACGCGCCGUCGGUCAAGGGCCGGUUCAGGAUCUCCAGGGACAACGGGCAGAGCUCGGUGACGCUGAUCAUGAGCAGCCUCAAGGACGAGGAUUCCGGAUCCUAUUUCUGCGCCAAAUGUUUCACCAGUGAAUUCUCUGAUCCUUCCCCCUAA